GAUCCUGGCUUAGGAUGAACGCUAGCGACAGGCUAACACAUGCAAGGUCGAGGGGCAGCACGGGAGUAGCAAUACGUUUGGUGGCGACCGGCGCACGGUGAGUAACGCGUAUGCAACCUACCUAUCGAGAGGGGAAUAACCCGGCGAAAGUCGGACUAAUACCGCAUAAAACAGGGGCACCGCAUGGUGAUAUUUGUUAAAGAAAUUCGCUGAUAGAUGGGCAUGCGUUCCAUUAGGUAGUUGGUGAGGUAACGGCUCACCAAGCCGACGAUGGAUAGGGGAACUGAGAGGUUGGUCCCCCACACUGGUACUGAGACACGGACCAGACUCCUACGGGAGGCAGCAGUGAGGAAUAUUGGUCAAUGGGCGGGAGCCUGAACCAGCCAAGUCGCCGUGAAGGAAGAAGGAUCUAUGGUUCGUAAACUUCUUUUGCAGGGGAAUAAAGUGCAGGACGUGUCCUGUUUUGUAUGUACCCUGAGAAUAAGGAUCGGCUAACUCCGUGCCAGCCGCCGC
rnacentral:rRNA from 1 species